rnacentral:lncRNA from 1 species
CUGAGGGCCACCAAAUAAGGAAGGACAUCAUUUUUCUCCCCUUAUCUGUGUGCAUGCCAGUGAGCAGAGCUACUUGCCUCAUUCAUGGCAGCAUCCCCAAACAUGGUGGGAAGAGACCUAGGUGCUGCGCUGAGCUGAGAGGCACAGCAAGGAAACAAACAAACACUCCUUUGCUUUUUCAUAUAACGUCUCCCCUUUCCUCUCUUACCUCCUCCUUCUGUUGACAUACGUCAUCUACCUAGAAAAGAGGACAGCUGUCCUUUCCCAAAGCUCUGGUGAACCUGCCCCACCCAGUAUGACUGACCCAAGUUGGUGAUUUUGAUCUGUUGCCAACCUAAACUGGCUCCCCAGGCACCAUUUGGUAGAUUUCCAGGGGCCGUUUCCUUGCCAAGCAUUCCUUUUCAGUGAGAGGACAUUUUUUCAUCCCUGAUAAACAACCCAGGUCCUGACAGAGCUGAGAGGGUGCCUGGCUCUCCUCGCUGCUCCUCCACUUAGUUCCCCGCAGAUCGGAUCCCUGAGGCAUCAGUGGCUCUGUGAAUUCCUUUGUGAAACCCAAGACCCUUGUCUCUAUAGGAGAGCAGAAAUCCCCAAGGGGCUUUGUGGCUUGGGGCUGAGACAUGCGGGGUUUAUCUGAAUAAAGAUAUCUUAACCUUACGGACCACGGAUCUCAUAAUAACUUUGGGCUCCCUCUUCCCUGAAGAUCAGCUGCUGGCACCAGGAGAGUCUGUGUUUGCAAACUUGCCUUUCUUGGAUUCAGUUUAGAAAGCUCAGGCAGGCUCCUGCAAUGGGAGAGACAGGAUCACCUUGCAGAUCAUACUUGCAAUCUACGGAGGAAAAAGGACAAGCCUGGGGUGGCAGGGGGUCAGGUCUGUUAAAAGGAUCUGAACCCAGUCACUAUUAGAGGACUAAUAGUGUUUUUCCACUUCCCAGGAGGCUGGAAAGCCUCAUGUGCCCUCCAAGUGCCAAGCUGGAGGAUUCGAGUGAUGAUACACCUUUAAGUCCAGAACUCUGAAGGGAGAGACAGGUGGAUCUUUGAGUUCAAGACCAGCCUGCUCUACAGAGGACGUUCCCAGGAUAGCCAAGGACACACAUAGAAACCUUGUCUUCAAGAACAACAACAAAAAAAAAUAAAGAAAAUAAAACAAAAAGAAGGGCUCUCUUUAGUUCAACCAUACUAUCUAUAACGACACCCAUAGCUCUCAUUGUCCUAAGAACACAUUUUUAUGGCAUUUGUGUUUAAGUGACAGGAUCUAGCUGAGGCUGGUUCCUUUCAGUCCAGGACAAUCUCUCUUGAACAUUUCCUAUCACAAAGCCUUGUGAAGAACCCAAGUUGUCUAUCUGUCUCAUGGAGUGUACUGCAGUCAGCAUUUGUCUGCAUGUUGCCUUACUGUCAGAUUCGGGUUAGACAUUUUUGCAAGGAUUUUACACAAGUAAUAGCUUAUGCUUCUUGUUGCCAUACUUUCAGAAAUUUGUAAUUUUGGGAAAUGUGACAAGCAUAGGUUAAAUAAACACACACUGAAUUGA